rfam:Dipodomys ordii contig_51112, whole genome shotgun sequence.
GGGAAUGUGGCUCAGUGGUAGAGUGCUUGCCUAGCAUGCAUUGAAGCCCUGGGUUCAAUUCCUCAGUACCA